rnacentral:rRNA from 1 species
CGUGUAGAUGGCUUUUUAAGUCAGCUGUGAAAUCUCCUGGCUCAACCGGGAGAGGUCAGUUGAUACUGAGGAGCUUGAGGGCAGCAGAGGAAGAUGGAAUUCCCGGUGUAGUGGUGAAAUGCGUAGAUAUCGGGAGGAACACCAGUGGCGAAGGCGGUCUUCUGGGCUGUUUCUGACAUUGAGGCGCGAAAGCGUGGGGAGUGAAGCGGAUCAGAUACCCGCGUAAUCCACGCUAUAAACGGUGGAUACUAGGUAUGGGGGGUAUCGACCCUCUCCGUGCCGCAGCUAACGUUUUAAGUAUCCCGCCUGGGGACUACGGCCGCAAGGUUAAA